ensembl:lncRNA
CCCCUCAGAUCCACAAAAGGCCUCCAAUCAUUGAGAACUGUGGGCAGGAACAGACAUCUGGGGAUGGACGGGACAUGAAUCCAGAGCGUCUCAGCCAGUCUGGAAGGGUGACUCGGCUGAUGGAGAGAAAUUAUGAUGGGGUGAUCUCAUCCUCCAACUCUGAUGACAUCUCUAUCUACUCCUUCACUGACUGUGAAUCUGAGGUAAGAGAGUUGUACACCAUAGAUGUGUUGAGUGAUAUGACUGUGAAGAGAAUAGUCUCAGACUAAUUGACUCUGAUACACAGUCUGAUGAGGAUCAUGAAAGGAGGACACCACCGCUGAUAGUGAAGGAUAAGGAGGAUGGAAAGGUGACAAAGUUUGAAGUGAGGGAAAUGGUAGAGGACGACAAUCUGUCUCUCCACUCCUUGGAUGAUUCAGACUUUCUGGUAUGUUCUGCACCAUGUAUUUGAGUAACUCUUUGACUGAAUGUGGAGAAUGGACUAUGACCAACUAGCUCUCUGACACAGUGUGAUAAUGGCAAUGAUGCCUCUGCUGAGGACAGUCCAGGGUCUUCAAAGGAACCACAGAGAAAAGGGGCUUCACUGAAGGACCCUCGACUGGUAUUCUCUUACAUUUGUGUGUUAGUGGUGCGCAAGUCAGCUGUUUGUUCAACCAAGCCCACCCGCAAUUGCUAAUAACCCAUCCGCAACCGCUUGACUAUAUGUGAAAAAGUGAAAACCUGACCCUAGUCCACAAAUAUAGAACACAUCAGAGAAG